AGUUCGUGCCGGUGUCCUUCGGGUUGGGGUUUUGCCCUGUAGAUCCUCUUCAGUGACAGCUGCAGAUUGUGAACCCCUCCAGGGCUGGGACCAAAUCUCCGAUUCAGUGUUGAGAACCUGGACUUGGGAGUCAGCCCCUGGGAUCUAGUGCUGCCUCUGACAGUUACUUGCUGAGCAACUUUGGGCAGGCUCCUCAUCUGUAAAACUGGGUUCAUUACUAGGUUCUUGCGAUUAUUAAAUGACAUGGGGAAUACGCAAAGCAUUUAUGUGACCCCGCGUCUGGCGCAUAUUAAGCACUCAGUAAACGUUAUUUUCAUUCUUUAUUCUUGUAGGCUCUAGUUGUUAGUGAAUGGCAGAAGUUUGUUGUAAGUAGAUAAAUGAAGGUUGAGAUAUUUAGUUCAAUUGAGUUUUAUUGCCUGUUGAGUCAGGGCAUUAUAUUCUGCCUUAAAUAGGAGGUUUAAAGAAGGUGUGAUUAUCUACCACAAGUCAUCUGGGAUGCCUUCUGGCACCCAAAUGAGUAGUUUUCAUUAAUAAUUGUGCCGUAUAACAAAAACUACCAGGUAUUGAGUGAUUUGCCUGAGUCCAGCAAUAUGCUGAUUGUUUACUUGCUUUCCUUUGAGGAAGAUAUCGAUCUCAUUAAAUAGAUGAAUUCAGAGCUAAAGUUCAGAGAGGGCAAGUUACAAGCCUGAAUUCUGAGGUCUAGGAAUUGAUGACGCUGUAAUUCAGGGACCAAACAUAUAAAUACCUAUAGGAGACUGGCAGCUAAAAAUAGAUGAAGCUGCCGAGUGGAUAUUGUGACUGGGACGCUCAUUUCUUUUGAUAAAUCUAGUCACUCUGGUAUUUAGGGAAAUUGGUGGAAGGAGCAGAAAGCUCCAGGGCCCCGAGGUGGGAACACGCUUGAGGAAUGCUUGAGGAGGCCAUUGGAGUGAAAGAGGGAGAGAGAGACCCUUAUCACCAGAAUGAACAUAUGGCAUCCAGGAGAAAGAUGUCUUGCCCCUGCCCCAGAUAAUGGAAAACUUUGUGAAGCAAGUAUAAAAUCUAUCACAGUGGAUGAAAAUGGCAAGUCAUUUGCAGUCGUCUUAUAUUCAGAUUUUCAAGAAAGGAAAAUACCUCUUAAACAGCUUCAAGAAGUAAAAUUUGUUAAAGAUUGCCCUAGGAAUCUUAUAUUUGAUGAUGAAGAUUUGGAAAAACCUUAUUUCCCAAACCGAAAAUUUCCAUCAUCUUCUGUUGCUUUUAAAUUAUCUGACGAUGGAGACUCUAUUCCUUAUACCAUCAAUAGGUAUUUGAGAAACUACCAAAGAGAAGGAACCCGGUUUCUUUAUGAACACUACAUCCAUGGAGGAGGGUGCAUUCUGGGUGAUGACAUGGGACUUGGAAAAACAGUACAGGUUAUUUCAUUUCUGGCUGCAGUUUUGCAUAAAAAGGGAACUCGUGAGGAUAUUGAAAAUAACAUGCCAGAGUUUUUACUAAGAAGUAUGAAAAAGGAACCCCUUUGUUCUACAGCAAAAAAGUGAAUUUUCCAGUUCUUUAACUGAGAGUAUCUGAGAGAGGGGGAGAGGAAAUGGACUAGGAAAAUGCAAAAGGAAAGAGAGCUCCAGGAGACUAUAUUUCAAGAACACGUGGCCUGCUUGUAUGUUCUUAAUAGUUGCUCCUCUUUCUGUCCUCUACAACUGGAAAGAUGAAUUGGACACCUGGGGAUAUUUCAGAGUCACUGUUUUACAUGGAAACAGAAAAGAUAAUGAAUUAAUUCGUGUAAAGCAGAGGAAAUGUGAAAUUGCCCUAACAACUUAUGAAACACUGCGCUUAUGCCUGGAUGAACUUAACAGUUUGCAGUGGUCAGCUGUCAUUGUAGAUGAAGCUCAUAGAAUCAAGAAUCCAAAAGCUAGAGUAACAGAAGUUAUGAAAGCUUUGAAAUGUAAUGUCCGCAUUGGCCUCACUGGAACCAUCCUUCAGAACAACAUGAAGGAACUGUGGUGUGUUAUGGACUGGGCUGUGCCAGGCCUUUUAGGGAGCAGGACCUACUUCAAGAAGCAGUUUUCUGACCCAGUAGAGCAUGGUCAGAGACACACGGCAACAAAGAGAGAACUAGCCACUGGCCGAAAGGCCAUGCAAAGACUUGCCAAAAAGAUGUCUGGCUGGUUUCUCAGGCGCACCAAGACUCUUAUCAAGGAUCAGUUGCCUAAGAAGGAAGACCGGAUGGUGUAUUGUUCUUUGACAGAUUUCCAGAAAGCUGUCUAUCAAACAGUGUUAGAAACAGAGGACGUGACUUUGAUACUUCAGUCUUCUGAGCCUUGUACCUGUAGGAGUGGCCGAAAAAGGAGAAAUUGUUGUUAUAAGACCAAUUCUCAUGGUGAAACAGUGAAAACCUUGUAUCUCAGUUACCUUACAGUUCUUCAGAAGAUAGCUAACCAUGUCGCGCUACUGCAAGCUGCUAGUACUUCCAAACAACAGGAAACACUUAUCAAAAGGAUAUGUGAUCAAGUAUUUUCCAGAUUCCCAGAUUUUGUGCAGAAAAGCAAAGAUGCAGCCUUUGAAACACUUUCUGACCCUAAAUACAGUGGAAAAAUGAAGGUCCUUCAGCAGCUUUUAAAUCAUUGCAGGAAAAACAGAGAUAAAGUUCUUCUCUUUUCUUUUUCCACCAAGUUGCUUGAUGUGCUACAGCAGUACUGUAUGGCGUCUGGGCUUGAUUACCGACGACUUGAUGGAAGUACAAAAUCAGAGGAAAGACUCAAGAUUGUAAAAGAGUUCAACAGUACACAAGAUGUUAACAUUUGCCUUGUCUCUACAAUGGCUGGUGGACUAGGCCUCAAUUUUGUCGGUGCCAAUGUUGUUGUAUUAUUUGAUCCUACUUGGAAUCCAGCCAAUGAUCUUCAAGCCAUUGACAGAGCAUAUAGGAUUGGACAGUGUAGAGAUGUCAAAGUGCUUAGGCUGAUAUCCUUGGGAACUGUGGAGGAAAUCAUGUAUUUACGACAGAUAUACAAGCAGCAACUUCACUGUGUGGUGGUUGGAAGUGAAAAUGCCAAACGAUAUUUUGAAGCAGUUCAAGGAUCUAAAGAGCAUCAAGGAGAGCUUUUUGGGAUCCAUAACCUCUUCAAAUUUAGGUCCCAAGGGUCUUGUCUUACGAAGGACAUCCUGGAGGUGUGAACUUCUUCUCUGACCUUUUCAAUAAUAUUUUAAAUACAGUUUUUCUUCCUCAGGAAAUUUGAAAUACAAUUGCUGUUGCCUUUUCAGAGAAGCUUUCGGUUUUCUUUAUCAAAAAUGCCUUGGAAUUUUUACUUUUAGAGAAUAAGAAAUGAAUUAUUGUACCUCUAAACUAAGAUUUUCCCAUGCAUAAUUACAAAUAAUGCACACACACAAAUGUAUAUACUGGGUAGUAUGAACUCCAAGGCCAUUUUAAAUAGGCAGAGAGAAGUUUAUAGUUUUGAAAACAGCUGCUGAAGUCAGGAACUAAAAAAAGAGGUUUUCCUAAAUAAACAAAAAUAUAAAAUGUGUUUUGAUUAAAAGUUACCAAAUACUCCCUGAGAUGUACUCUCAUGUCUCAUGGAGAUUUUUGUUUUCUGUUCCCAAUAAAAAUUCCACACCAA
rnacentral:sRNA from 1 species